rnacentral:misc_RNA from 1 species
GAACUGCGAUAAGUAGUGUGAAUUGCAGAAUUCCGUGAACCAUCGAAUCUUUGAACGCAGAUUGCGCCCAAGGCUCCGGCUGAGGGCAUGUCUGGCUCAGAGUCGGUCUACCCCCAUCGCUGCUUCACGCAGUGGAUCUGGCGGUCCCGCUGCUCUUUUGGAGCGGGUCCGCUGAAGCGCAGAUGUGCGCCUCGUCGGUCCCUGACCCACGACGACUAGGUAGGCAGCUCGCUGCAUACCGUCGUCUGUUAGGAGCCGGCGAACCAUGCGUGCAUUACCCCAACUCUUUUUUUCGACCUGAGCUCAGGCAAGGCUACCCGCUGAACUUAA